UACGGAGGGGGCUAGCGUUGUUCGGAAUUACUGGGCGUAAAGCGCACGUAGGCGGCUUUGUAAGUUAGAGGUGAAAGCCCGGGGCUCAACUCCGGAAUUGCCUUUAAGACUGCAUCGCUAGAAUUGUGGAGAGGUGAGUGGAACUGCGAGUGUAGAGGUGAAAUUCGUAGAUAUUCGCAAGAACACCAGUGGCGAAGGCGGCUCACUGGCCCGAUACUGACGCUGAGGCACGAAAGCGUGGGGAGCAAACAGG
rnacentral:rRNA from 1 species